rnacentral:rRNA from 1 species
CUAAGUGGCGGACGGGUGAGUAAUGUAUAGUUAAUCUGCCCUUUAGAGGGGGAUAACAGUUGGAAACGACUGCUAAUACCCCAUACUCCUUUUACAUUAAUUGUAAUUGGGAAACGUUUUUUCGCUAAAGGAUGAGACUAUAUGGUAUCAGGUAGUUGGUGGGGUAAGAGCCUACCAAGCCAAUGACGCCUAGCUGGUCUGAGAGGGUGAUCAGCCACACUGGAACUGAGACACGGUCCAG